rnacentral:rRNA from 1 species
UACGGAGGGGCUAGCGUUGUUCGGAAUUACUGGGCGUAAAGCGCACGUAGGCGGCUUUGCAAGUUAGAGGUGAAAGCCCGGGGCUCAACUCCGGAAUUGCCUUUAAAACUGCAUCGCUAGAAUUGUGGAGAGGUAAGUGGAAUUCCGAGUGUAGAGGUGAAAUUCGUAGAUAUUCGGAAGAACACCAGUGGCGAAGGCGACUACUGGACACAUAUUGACGCUGAGGUGCGAAAGCGUGGGGAGCAAACAGGG